GGCAGACAUGUGCAGGGAUAAACGUAGGUUGCCCGGAAGGGCAGCAGCGCGUACAGCGUGGGAUCCUACGUCCUGAGGUCUGCCUUUUU
rnacentral:sRNA from 1 species